rnacentral:lncRNA from 1 species
ACUGAGAAGACAAAGGCAGCCAGAACUAUCUUAUUUAUUAUAAAGAUACACCAUGAAGAACAGACCUGACUGUAUAUUGAAGCCUGGAAUGGUACAUGCCAAAAUGUACAGUACUAUACAUAAAAGUGCAUUGUCACAACAGAUUAACAAAACAUUUCUUUUCUUCCAGAACUGUAAAAGCAUCCCCCCAAAUUUCCGCCUCAGAGCCGAGGAACUGUAACGGAGGCAGCACAGAUCACAGGUGACACGUGGGCUGCAGCAGCUAGAGAGACAGCGGGAGGGAGGACACAGGGACACUGCGGACGGGAAAGGCACAGUCACGGCUACCAGCAAAACGAGACAGUCUGAUGACGGACAAGGAUGCAAGACGGACGAUACUGAGCACCGAGGCACAGGACGGGACACAGAGAAGCAGGGAGAGCGUGGAGGAAGUUUCCGCUCAGAUAGGUAGUAGGAAUUGGGGCAGAGGGGCUGGGAGCAGGAGCGGAAGGGUGGACGGGGCGCUCGACGGGGAGGCAGGAAUUGGGGCAGGGGGGCCAGACGCAAGAGUGGAGGGGUGGAUGGGGUGACAGUAAAGAGCAAGGCUAAAACUCCUCUAAAAUAGAAAGGCACUUUCACAUGUACAUACUACAGAUGUACAUUGACACGAUUAGUAACAGUCACAAGCAGGAAGCUACCAGUACUGCAAUUGAUCAAACCGACAGGAAAGGACAAUACUGAUUUAAUUACGUGGGCAGGAGUUACCCUUAAUUCCGUAGGUAAAUUUUAGCAGUCUCUCCUGUUACACAGCCACUUACUAUACUUUAAACAUCUAUAAUAACCAUCACACUACACACUGAACUUGGAUGAAUGCUCUAAAGGGGGCAUUCACAAAUGCACGGUUUAUAUAUUUUCUUUUACUAAACAGUUUCUAAGAUAAGCAUUAUGGAACCCGGUACAAUUAUUUAAACAUACAAAACUCCCUAUGUAAUUUAAAGAUACAGGUACCCAUCUCGAUUAUACCACAUAGACUAUUUUUUUUAAAGAAAGUAUACUAGGGUAAGUGAAAUCUCAAUUUCCAGUUUGUUUUACUGAUCUGAAUAAAGGGGUGCCAAAGUCACCCUGCACCAAGCCUGACACCUCAGCCCAGCUGGAGGUUUGGUUUUCAGCUCAGGGGACUGUCUGGAGUAGGGAGCUCUAUUGUACACACGGAUGAGCCUUUGCAUCUAAAUUGCUCCGGGACUGUGGCCUCAGCGAUGGGCAACUCAGAGCAAGGCUCAUCCGAGUGCUUUUCCCGCUUUUACGGUGUCUCACUACUGUGGUCAGGACGAGAAUGAAUGCGAUCCCAAAUCUGAAGUCUUCUAAAUCCUCAAUAGACCUAUGGGCUCUUUACUUUUUUUUUUUUUUAAGUUUUUAAAUUCCAGUUGCUUAACAUACAGUGUGGGCUUUUUGAAUUUUAGAGGCUGUACUUUCACAUUAAAGUUUCUUCAUUUUGUAGACCUCGUGUCAUUCCCAAAUGCUGGGGAGACCACAAUCCUUCCCACUCUUAUCUUUUCCUUAAAUUAUAAGCCC